GACGAACGCUGGCGGCGUGCCUAAUACAUGCAAGUAGAACGCUGAAGAGAGGAGCUUGCUCUUCUUGGAUGAGUUGCGAACGGGUGAGUAACGCGUAGGUAACCUGCCUUGUAGCGGGGGAUAACUAUUGGAAACGAUAGCUAAUACCGCAUAACAAUGGAUGACACAUGUCAUUUAUUUGAAAGGGGCAAUUGCUCCACUACAAGAUGGACCUGCGUUGUAUUAGCUAGUAGGUGAGGUAAUGGCUCACCUAGGCGACGCUACAUAGCCGACCUGAGAGGGUGAUCGGCCACACUGGGACUGAGACACGGCCCAGACUCCUACGGGAGGCAGCAGUAGGGAAUCUUCGGCAAUGGGGGCAACCCUGAACGAGCAACGCCGCGUGAGUGAAGAAGGUUUUCGGAUCGUAAAGCUCUGUUGUAAGUCAAGAAAGGGUGUGAGAGUGGAAAGUUCACACUGUGACGGUAGCUUACCAGAAAGGGACGGCUAACUACGUG
rnacentral:rRNA from 1 species